UACGAAGGUCCCAAGCGUUAUCCGGAUUUAUUGGGUUUAAAGGGUGCGUAGGCGGGCUAUUAAGUCAGUGGUGAAAGCCCCAAGCUUAACUUGGGAACUGCCAUUGAUACUGAUGGUCUUGAGUACAUUUGAGGUGGGCGGAAUGUGUCAUGUAGCGGUGAAAUGCUUAGAUAUGACACAGAACACCGAUUGCGAAGGCAGCUAGCUAAACCGACAUUGACGCUGAGGCACGAAAGCGUGGGGAUCAAACAGG
rnacentral:rRNA from 1 species